AGAAUGGGAGCUCUGACGUAGGAGGACAUCCGGUCUGCUUCAUACUGUGGGAGACUGGCCGUUUUUGCGCUCGGAAGACCUGACCGAUCUCCCUGGAGUUCUAGCCUGAGGGUUGGACUCGUCUCUGCGUCCUCGACUACCGCGAAAGAGGGUAAAAUGCCAGAGGGGGAAAAGACUGGUUCGAGGAAGAAGGCAGAGAACUGCUGAGAAUGGGAGAAACAACUCAGGACAUCAAGAAGCACUGUAGACUUAGCCCAGCACGCUUGCAAUGCUACAAUGGGAAAACAAAGUGUAUGAUGAAGUCUUCAGACUGUGUCAUCAACUAUGUUGGUGUGUAUACAGUACUGGCCUCACUAUGGUGGCUUGUUUCUGUGAUGAACAUACAAGGAGCAAGGUGUUUAAGCAAGAAAAGGGGAAACAACUUGUCCUAAAUGUGGACACGAAAUGCAGGAGACAAAGGAUCUCAGCAUGUCAAGUAAGGCUACCAAUGAGUGAUUUGCUUUCAUUCAUGCUUAGAAUAAAUUUACCAU
rnacentral:lncRNA from 1 species